AUACGGAGGGUGCAAGCGUUGUUCGGAAUCACUGGGCGUAAAGGGCGCGCAGGCGGUUUGGUAAGUCAGAUGUGAAAGCCCACGGCUCAACCAUGGAAGUGCAUUUGAAACUGUCAGACUUGAGUACUAGAGGGGAAAGUGGAAUUCCCGGUGUAGAGGUGAAAUUCGUAGAUAUCGGGAGGAAUACCGGUGGCGAAGGCGACUUUCUGGCUAGAUACUGACGCUGAGGCGCGAAAGCGUGGGGAGCAAACAGGAUUAGAAACCCUAGUAGUCC
rnacentral:rRNA from 1 species